rnacentral:tRNA from 6 species
GGUCCCUUGGAGUAGCGGAUAACUCACCUGGCCCUCACCCAGAAGAUCGCGGGUUCGAAUCCCGCAGGGACUAC